ensembl:processed_transcript 1110038B12Rik RIKEN cDNA 1110038B12 gene
GGUCUCUUUGUGCACCCGCCCACACGGUUUGUCCUGUUUUCACCCUUCUUUGCUCUCCACCGGUCUGGGCAGGGUCUGAGGACUCCGGAGAGCAAGGCAUGGGUCCGCCUCGUGCCGCAGGUUCCUGGCCCACGCCAGCCAUACCCAGUAGCACAAUGGGAUUUGAGGACACACGCCAGCUGCCUACACCUGAAGAAAGGGCUUUGCUGCUACGCACUGACAAGUUGGACGGCUUUUUAUUGCUUUGUUGCCAGUUAUCUGAACAUGAGAGGCUGUAAGGUGUAAUCUGCGAGCCCUGCGCCCAGACUGAACCAGGGCCUCCCUUGAACAUGAGUAUUAGACAAUGAAAUAAGAACUUAUCUUGCCCAGACUAUAUAAUGGCUUGGAAAUGCAUAGUUUCCUGAACGAUCUCAAUAAAAUACUUUUAAAAGUA